AGAGUUUGAUCCUGGCUCAGGAUGAACGCUGGCGGCGUGCCUAACACAUGCAAGUCGAGCGAUUCUCUUCGGAGAAGAGCGGCGGACGGGUGAGUAACGCGUGGGUAACCUGCCCUGUACACACGGAUAACAUACCGAAAGGUAUGCUAAUACGGGAUAAUAUAUAAGAGUCGCAUGACUUUUAUAUCAAAGAUUUUUCGGUACAGGAUGGACCCGCGUCUGAUUAGCUUGUUGGCGGGGUAACGGCCCACCAAGGCGACGAUCAGUAGCCGACCUGAGAGGGUGAUCGGCCACAUUGGAACUGAGACACGGUCCAAACUCCUACGGGAGGCAGCAGUGGGGAAUAUUGCACAAUGGGCGCAAGCCUGAUGCAGCAACGCCGCGUGAGCGAUGAAGGCCUUCGGGUCGUAAAGCUCUGUCCUCAAGGAAGAUAAUGACGGUACUUGAGGAGGAAGCCCCGGCUAACUACGUGCCAGCAGCCGCGGUAAUACGUAGGGGGCUAGCGUUAUCCGGAUUUACUGGGCGUAAAGGGUGCGUAGGCGGUCUUUCAAGUCAGGAGUUAAAGGCUACGGCUCAACCGUAGUAAGCUCCUGAUACUGUCUGACUUGAGUGCAGGAGAGGAAAGCGGAAUUCCCAGUGUAGCGGUGAAAUGCGUAGAUAUUGGGAGGAACACCAGUAGCGAAGGCGGCUUUCUGGACUGUAACUGACGCUGAGGCACGAAAGCGUGGGGAGCAAACAGGAUUAGAUACCCUGGUAGUCCACGCUGUAAACGAUGAGUACUAGGUGUCGGAGGUUACCCCCUUCGGUGCCGCAGCUAACGCAUUAAGUACUCCGCCUGGGGAGUACGCACGCAAGUGUGAAACUCAAAGGAAUUGACGGGGACCCGCACAAGUAGCGGAGCAUGUGGUUUAAUUCGAUGAUACGCGAGGAACCUUACCCGGGCUUAAAUUGCAAAUGAAUGUUCUGGAAACAGAUCAGCCGCAAGGCAUUUGUGAAGGUGCUGCAUGGUUGUCGUCAGCUCGUGCCGUGAGGUGUCGGCUUAAGUGCCAUAACGAGCGCAACCCUUAUCGAUAGUUACCAUCAGGUUAUGCUGGGGACUCUGUCGAGACUGCCGUCGUAAGAUGUGAGGAAGGUGGGGAUGACGUCAAAUCAGCACGGCCCUUACGUCCGGGGCUACACACGUGUUACAAUGGGGGGUACAGAAGGCAGCUACACGGCGACGUGAUGCUAAUCCCUAAAACCUCUCUCAGUUCGGAUUGGAGUCUGCAACCCGACUCCAUGAAGCUGGAUUCGCUAGUAAUCGCGCAUCAGCCACGGCGCGGUGAAUACGUUCCCGGGCCUUGUACACACCGCCCGUCA
rnacentral:rRNA from 1 species